AAAUAUUCACUCUCAUCGUUUUUGUCCACUCCAAGCUCCUUCUUCCUCUCCAAAUAAUCAAAGACUGAAGUUGAUUUGAUUCAGUGCAAGUGGUUGGGAAGCUCUUGAGUAGGUGUAUGGAACGAUGUACGGAAUAUUGAAGGAAGCACGUGAUUCGAUUUCCGUGGCAAAUCAGCAAGCCACUUUUGCGGGCUCCAUGGACGUGAAUCGAGAUUUUGGUGUGAGAAACGAAUUUGAACAAGAAAAUACGGGCAAGAAUGGGUGGCUGCAGGACUACAUGUUGGACAAUUAGUCCAUUCAAGAAUUAGUGUGGUUCAUUGCAAGCGGCUGGCGUGAUGAAUUAAAGAAAUUGAAUCUAGCUGCCGAUUUCAAUUCGUGGCUAUUUGAUGCUGGUGAGAGCAAACUGGUGAUAUGUUGAAUUAAAGACCAGGUGAUCAAGAGAUUCAAGUACAGGAAGUUCUGUGGCAAAGCAAUGAAGCAUGAGGUGGCAUACAUUUCGAUCCAUUCAUGCAUUGUAGUGCAUGGUUUACUGUGUUUGAUACUUUUUCAAUCAUGAUGUAGUGCAGAUUUGAAGCGGUUAUAUUCUUUUGCACUUUGAAGCAGUACAAUCAAGCUUGAAUUCCAGCAGCUAUGAAUUAUGAGGAGAACAGGUCGAGAUGCAAUUAGAUGUUGUUGAUGCAGGUAUCAGUUCAGUGCAUUCAAGAAGAGCUAUGUAUUAUGUCGAGCACAAGUUAACGGAGUUAAGUUGGCAUGCAGAUGACCAUGUGACGUGGUAGAUAUAUUGUUCAAGUGCCCCUUAACUUAAAAAUUUGGGGUUUUUGUUAAAGAUUUUGAAAUUAGGGUUAAUUUAUAAUUGAAUUGGGAGCAUGGCCUCCGAUGAACGGUACCGUCGGUGAAGACAACGCUGCUUUCUGCUUUUGUUCUGGUGUCCAGUAGUCUCUUCUCUACACCUCAACCACUCUCUCUGCAAUGCAACGCACACUGUUUAUCUCUUUCUAUCUUCUCUUUUCUCUUUUUGCAGCAGAAGGUGAUCUCAACCCAAAUACUGUAAUGGGGGAUUUUCUUGAACAUUGUUUACCAUGGAUUCUGGAUUUCAUGAACAAGUCUCUUAGGGCUUUCUUUCUUUUCUAUUAUGUUUUGUUCAUCUUUAAUUUCAUUUUCAUUUUCUCGAAUUCCAUUUUCUUUUUCCCUUUUUUUCAAUCUGAACUGAUUUUUGAGGAAUGGAUGAAUGCAAAAGCCCAAAAUCAUAUUCCACGCCCCUCUCUUUGCCUUUUUCCUAGAAGAAAAUAGAAGAGAAAGCGCGCCGAAGGCGAGCUCUUCCCUAGAAUCUCCCGUUGCGGAUGUUUGUCAGAGUCCACAGCGCGCCGAUACUUCCAACAGCUGGUCUCCGCGCUCCGGUUCUGCCACCGCAACGAUUUUGGUGUCUUUUCACUUUGAUUCCUUGAAAAAGCUUGGAUUUUUCUGUCUCAGCAACAUAAAUGUAAUCACCAUUAUUACAAAAGGGAGAAAAAACACAGCAAGAAAGCUUUCAGUUGUUGAUUU